rnacentral:rRNA from 1 species
UACGUAGGUGGCAAGCGUUGUCCGGAUUUAUUGGGCGUAAAGCGCGCGCAGGCGGCUAUGUAAGUCUGAUGUUAAAGCCCGAGGCUCAACCUCGGUCCGCAUUGGAAACUGUGUAGCUUGAGUGCAGAAGAGGAAAGCGGUAUUCCACGUGUAGCGGUGAAAUGCGUAGAGAUGUGGAGGAACACCAGUGGCGAAGGCGGCUUUCUGGUCUGUAACUGACGCUGAGGCGCGAAAGCGUGGGGAGCAAACAGG